AAUUACUCAGUUUCAUUUUUCUUCAUUCUGAAUAGCGCCGCCCCCUAUGCUGUCAUCUCUUCCACCACCACCAUAAUAGUUACCUUUUUCCCUGCUUCCACCCCCACCACCUUCGUCUCUUCCUCUCAAUAUCUCUCUCACCUUACUCACAAAUCGGAUUUGAAACUAAAACCCUAAUCCAUAAAUUCUAGAAAAUAGAUCUAAACUUGUUGUUAGAUUUCGUUGGAAAAACACCACUUGCGUGUCUUCGUGUUUGUUUGUGGUCCUCGAUCUUGUUUGGAUCCUACCUUCGCUACCAUAUAACUCUUUGUUUUGCUUAAGAUUUUUUAUUCUUUUAUUAUAUCUUUACUUUUAUCCUUGUCAGGUUACAGAUUGGUUCUCUUCUCAUGAUACUUGUUAAUGAUAUUGGGGUUCUUGCCUUCCUUUUGGGUGUUGUGGUUAUACAACUAUUUUAUUAGCUCUGAAUGUGCAGUUUACAAAUAUGAAAUUGUGCAGGAAAUGUAAAGUUAUGAAGUGUAGACAUAUUUCAUUUGUUUUUAUGUAGGUUUUAUUAUACAAUAUCAGCAAGAUAAAAGAUAUUAGCUCAGGUCUAAAAGUGAUAAUGGUGAAAAUGGGAAGCAUAUCAAAAUAUUCCCAGAGAUAUGAUGAAGAUGAAUUGCCACUGCUGAAGGAAGUAAUUAUAGACAGAACAAAUGUUGUGAUGUUUACUAUAUUUUUUUAAUUUUUAAUUUUAAUAGUUGUAAGAAAGAUUUAGAUUUAAUUGUAUUUAAACUGUCUAAUUUUAUAUAACAAAAAGGUUAAAAUAA